rnacentral:misc_RNA from 1 species
GAUGAAGAACGCAGCGAAAUGCGAUAAGUAAUGUGAAUUGCAGAAUUCAGUGAAUCAUCGAAUCUUUGAACGCACAUUGCGCCCGCCAGUAUUCUGGCGGGCAUGCCUGUUCGAGCGUCAUUUCAACCAUCAAGCCCUGCUUGCGUUGGGGUCCUGCGGCUGCCCGCAGGCCCUGAAAACCAGUGGCGGGCUCGCUAGUCACACCGAGCGCAGUAAUACAUCUCGCUUUGGGCGUGCGGCGGGUUCUUGCCGUUAAACACCCCCUUUUUACCAAGGUUGACCUCGGAUCAGGUAGGAAUACCCGCUGAACUUAAGCAUAUCGAUAAGCGGAGGA